rnacentral:rRNA from 1 species
UAAUACGGAGGGUGCAAGCGUUGCUCGGAAUUACUGGGCGUAAAGCGAACGCAGGCGGUUCACUAAGUCGGGCGUGAAAGCCCCGGGCUCAACCUGGGAAUUGCACCCGAUACUGGUAGACUUGAGUCUGAGAGAGGGAAGCGGAAUUCCUGGUGUAGAGGUGAAAUUCGUUGAUAUCAGGAGGAACACCGGCGGCGAAGGCGGCUUCCUGGCUCAGUACUGACGCUCAUGUUCGAAAGCGUGGGGAGCGAACAGGAUUAGAUACCCUGGUAGUCCACGCUGUAAACGAUGAAUGCUAGGUGUUGGAGCCCUUUCACUGCUCCAGUGCCGUAGCCAACGCAUUAAGCAUUCCGCCUGGGGAGUACGGCCGCAAGGCUA